UCGAGAAUCUUCGGCAAUGGGCGAAAGCCUGACCGAGCGACGCCGCGUGCGGGAUGACGGCCUUCGGGUUGUAAACCGCUGUCGUUGGGGAGGAAGUGCAAGGGGGUUAUCCCCUUUGUUUGACCUAUCCAAGGAGGAAGUACGGGCUAAGUUCGUGCCAGCAGCCGCGGUAAGACGAACCGUACGAACGUUAUUCGGAAUUACUGGGCUUAAAGGGUGCGUAGGCUGCGCGGUAAGUUGGGUGUGAAAGCCCUCAGCUCAACUGAGGAACUGCACUCAAAACUACCGUGCUCGAGGGAGACAGAGGUGAGCGGAACUCAAGGUGGAGCGGUGAAAUGCGUUGAUAUCUUGAGGAACACCGGUGGCGAAAGCGGCUCACUGGGUCUUUUCUGACGCUGAGGCACGAAAGCCAAGGUAGCAAACGGG
rnacentral:rRNA from 1 species